rnacentral:lncRNA from 7 species
GCAAAAAUGUUUCUCUGUAGCCCAAGCCAUUCUAUGAUUCUGUCAAGCAGCAAGGCCCAGCUGAACACAGCCCUGUGCUGCACAGCACCGCCAGGCUCUGAGCUGUGAGUGUGCAGCUGGAGGGAUUCCAGUCACACCCCACUCCUCCUUUCUCCUGUUCUUUCCCCACUCUCCAGGUUGCAGCCAGGAAAAUGGACCAUGGGCAGAAACAAACCUACCUGUAGAGCCCUUGGCUUGGCCUUUUUCAGGCAGCUUUUAUCUUUCCUUUAAAUUCCUGGCUGUGGUGUGCCAGAGCAACAACCAAAUGUUAAAGAUGUUACGGAGCAAACAGUCUGCAGGCUGCACCAGCCUUCAAAUACAGAGGGAAAUGAGCAGCAAUGUUGGGAGAAAGGAGAAGAGCAGGAACUUGAACUUGGUAGAAGAGCCUGGCAUGGAAAACCACUGAGUUCUGACACAUUACAUUUGCUCCUAACUCUUUGAUUUCUAUUCACAGAAUCUGACAUAUGUUGGGCAUUGACCUUGCUCUUUUAAAUAAGCUUAUUUUAGAAGACCUUUGCAAAAUGCUGUCUGUUUGGCCUCGAUGUAAGCUGUGAGGGAAAUGUAGUACAAACACAGAAGUUGUAUGUUUUGAAUGCCAGAGAUGUUACACCAAAGAGCAGUUGGUGUGAUCUAUACUGCUGAAUGCUUUCUGUGCUGAUAGCAAGGCUGUGUCCUUAAAGUAAAUAAAAUUGCUCUUCCU